rnacentral:rRNA from 7 species
GCGACCCCCAGGUCAG